CUCUGUGAUAAUGUUAUGAAAUGAGUCACUCUUUAACAGGCCCUUUGAUAAUACUAUAAAGUGACUCAUUCUUUAAGAGGGCCUGUGAUAAUGCUAUAAAGUGAGUCACUCUUUAACAGACUCUGUGAUAAUGUUAUGAAAUGAGUCACUCUUUAACAGGCCCUUUGAUAAUACUAUAAAGUGACUCAUUCUUUAAGAGGGCCUGUGAUAAUGCUAUAAAGUGACUCAUUCUUUAAAAGGGCCUGUGAUAAUGUUAUGAAAUGAGUCACUCUUUAACAGGCCCUUUGAUAAUACUAUAAAGUGACUCAUUCUUUAAGAGGGCCUGUGAUAGUGUUAUAAAGUGAGUCACUCUUUAACAGGGUCUAUGAUAGUUCUAUAAAUUGACUCACUUCUGACUGGUCUCUCUGUUUGUGCUGGAAUCCAUUUUCCCGCCAAUUUUAACCAAGUGUUUGUCAUUUGAAUUGCCCUUGCCUCUCUUCAGCAGCAGCCUCCUUGAGUCGCUGAGUAUGAAGGUCAUUCUUGCUUAGGCAGUGGAUCUGUCCAGGUGUUCAUACAUCCAUCUCUCCUCUGUCACUGACUGGGUAGCGAUAGUCAUGCUGUUUGUGAAAGGUCGUGUCAGUGGUUGACAAACUUUGGAUUUUAUCGUAGAUUCUCUGCGUGGUCUUUCUGCAGGGUCCACAAGGGCGUAGGUGGGAGCCUUGAUGGACACUGUGCAGCUCAUAACUGUCCACCCCCAGCUUCUGCUGUUUAGUAGUACAGUCUCACAGUGUUACCCUCAUUCUGAAUGAAUCAAAUUAGCUCUAUAGGCUAAAAUUAAAUUAAAAUACAAAAUAAUUUAAAUAAAGAAAUAAUAAAAACCAUAAAACAAAUCAUAAACCUUUAAUAAAAUAAUUUCUAAAUAAAAAUAGUCAUUUAUUAAUAAUGAUAAUAAUAAUUUAAAAUACUAAAUAGGAACCUAAAAUAGACAAAUAAAUAGAAAAAAAUAGACAAAAAAAUAAAUAGUUCAGGGUGAGGGUUAUAGUGUGUGACUGGACUACCAGAGGAUGGGGUGGACACAGUUACGGGCUACACAGUGUCCAUCAUAGCCUCCAUCUACAUCCUAUUGGACUCUGCAGAAUGGCCAAGCUGAGGACCUACGGCAAAAUCCAAUGUGCGGCAGCCACCAACAUCAACCUUCACAGAUGGCAUAACCGUCACUACACAGUCAGUGAUAUAGGGGAGAUGGAUGCUUGAGGGCCUGGACAGAUCUAUUACCUGAACAAGGGUGAUCCUCAAGCCUAGCAGUCUGAGGAUGCUGGUACUGAACAAAGGUAACAGCAAGGUGCAUGAUGACAUUUGGCUUGAAGUGGUUGGAGAGUGGAUUCCUUCUCAGACAGAGGAGCCAGUCGGGGAAGUGGUUUAGCAGCUCACUCUGUGGCAGUGUGUGUGAGAGGGUAACACACCGCACGCAUGUCUGGGUUAUAGUGGGUGGAGAAGGGUGGUACGUAACCCAAGGCCUAGUACUCUCAGCACAUGGUCCUGUCCAAGCUCAUCUACCCCCCUUCCAGUGUAUGAACUCCUAGUAUCAGCAGCAGGACCAGAGGACAGGAACGUCGGGGUCUGACCUCUUCAGGUAGUUCAGAGCUUUCCAAAGCCUCGGUAGAAUUAACCUGUACAGCAGAAGGAGCAACAACAGCAGCUGCCACACAGAGAAGACAACUGUGGAGUGCGAGCCUGUUAAAGCAAGAUGGCUCCUCCUGCUCGGUAACUGUAACUGCUAAGUGAUGUCAGCAGCGGUCAAAGUUCACCUGGGCUCAAGAUGUCCGCCAGAAGCGGUGGGAGGGCACCGGGAGCAGCCACACAGCCCAGGCCGGGCCGGAUCAACCCCGACCUGUGCGUCCUUUCCGACGCUGCUGCUGAUUGGACCAGACGUUCACCUGAGGAUAGAGCCAGGAGCACCAGGAGCCGCUGUUUUUUUUACCUGCAGGAAUGAAAAUAAAUUAUCGAGAGUGCACGGAGAGGAGCAUUAUUUACGCUGUUCUAUAACCCAGCACCAGUCUUUAUCUUUCCACGAGAAGUUAUGGAUACACGGCUGAGUAUUAAAUGGAGCGAUGACAACAUUGUCUGGAUAGGCAAUGAAAAAGCAGGAGGGAUUAUUUGGCUGCUGAGGGACAAUGCAAACCGACAGAAUGAAGCCCCCCCCCUUCCCAAGUCUUGGAGACAUCGGUCCCUGGAGGAAAAGGCCCUGUGCUGAUCACCUGAAGCAGAUCGUCUCCUCCAUUGUCCUGUGGGCGCUCCUGGGUGAUGAAGGUCAUCAGCUCCUGCACGCACUGUUGCCUGGCUGAGGAAGAGGAGCAGCCUGCGGUUGUGAGCCUUGCCUCUUCCUCCUCCUCCUCCAUCGGCUCCCUCAAGGACACCUCCAGGGUCGGGGUCAGGAUCAGAGAAGACGGGAGAGAACAGUCACAGCGUCGGCACAGCCAGGGCGGGACUGUUGAUGCUAGGGUUUUGUUCACCAGAAGGGGCGGGGGGAGCUUGGGGAGGACCAUGUGCUGACAGGUUCUUAAUCAGGUCCUAUGAUAAUGUUAUGAAUCGGGUCAUAAAGUGAGUGAGUCACUCAUUUAAUCAGACCCUGUGAUAGUGUUAAGUGAGUGAGUGACUUUUUAACAGGCUCUGCAAUAGUGUUAUGAAUCGAGUCACUCUUUAACUGACCCUGUGAUAGUGUUAUAAAGUGAGUGAGUCACUCUUUAACAGGCUCUGUGAUAGUGCUAUAAAGUGAGUGAGUCACUCUUUAACCGGACCUCUGAUAGCGCUAUAAAGUGAGUCACUCUUGAACAGGCCUUUUGAUAUUGUUAUAAAGUGAGUGAGUCAUUAUUUAACGGGCCCUUUGAUAGCGCUAUAAAGUGAGUGAGUCAUUCUUUAACAGGGCCUGUGAUAUUGUUAUAAAGUGAGUGACUCUUUAACAGAGCCUUUAAUCGUAAUAUAAAGUGAGUCACUCUUGAACAGGCCUUUUAAUAUUGUUAUAAAGUGAGUGAGUCAUUCUUUAACAGGGCCUGUGAUAUUGUUAUAAAGUGAGUCACUCUUUAACAGAGCCUUUAAUCGUAAUAUAAAGUGAGUCACUCUUGAACAGGCCCUUUGAUAUUGUUAUAAAGUGAGUGAGUCAUCUUUGACAGGGUCUGUGAUAGUGAUAUAAAGUGAGUCACUCUUUAACAGGGUCUAUGAUAGUUCUAUGAAGUGACUCACUUCUGACUGGUCUCUCUGUUUGUGCUGGAAUCCAUUUUCCCAUCACUUUGAACCAAGUGUUUGUCAUUUGAAUUGCCCUUGCCUCUCUCAAGCAACAGCCUCCUGGAGUUUGAAGGUAACUUAUAAAUCCAGUCACUCUAACUGACCCUGUUAUAUUGCUAUAAAGUGAGUCACUCUUUAACAGACCCUUUGAUAAUGCUAUAAAGUGACUCAU